rnacentral:snoRNA from 1 species
CCGCUCGGGGAGGAUGAACUCAUCUCCUUCAUCGUCGCCGGGUUUGAUAUGGAGUAUCAGCCAAUCAUCUCUGCACUCGACGUCCGCACCGAGC